UGUCGUAACAAGGUUUCCGUAGGUGAACCUGCGGAAGGAUCAUUCACACACUGUGUUUUCACCACCGAUAACCUCUGUGAACUUUCAAUUGUGAACUCUUGCCACCGUGCAGCUUUUGGGUAGUGCCUGGUGAUUGUUCGUGGCCUGGGCAGGGGUGUGCGUCACCUGCGUGGUGGUAAGCUCGCCCCGUCGCCUGCAGGCAAUCCCCUAACUUCUCUUUCUUUGUGUUGUGCCAGUGGUGCCCGUUGGCGGAAACCGCCGCUCGGUGAUUGCUUUCUUACAACUUUCAGCAACGGAUGUCUCGGCUCGAACAACGAUGAAGGGCGCAGCGAAGUGUGAUAAGCAUUGCGACUUGCAGAAUUCCGUGAACCAACAGGGAUUUGAACGUAUACUGUGCUUUCGGGAUAUCCCUGAAAGCAUGCCUGCUUCAGCGUCAGCUUCGUUCUCAUGCUGCUGACGGGCUUUUCGGCCGCUGGUCGUGGGGCUCUGUUUGUCGGUUGUCCGUGUUUGCGCACCAAGGUGCUCUCUGCCGCCCUUGAUGCAUGAAGUGCACGUUGCCGCCGUGGCUUGCGACUAACAGAACACCACUUGGUGCCUUGUCUGUUGCUUGGCUGUUGGUUGCUUCGAUGCCCGUUCUGGGCUUCCUCGGCUGCGCGCCAUUGUAUUGACAUGAAGUUAGGUCAGCAAACCCGCUGAAUUUAAGCAUAUAAGUAAGCGGUGGAUAAGAAACUAAACAGGAUUCCCUCAGUAAUGGCGAAUGAACAGGGAUGAGCUCAGCAUUGAAAUUUUGGCUUCUAGCCUUGAAUUGUAAUCUCGAGAUGUGCAGCCAAUGUGCAAGCCUCUUGGAAAAGAGCACCGGCGAGGGUGAGAGUCCCGUUCGUCACUUGCAGCCCGCCGUGUACGGCGUACCUUCUAAGAGUCACGUUCCUCGGGCUUGGAGCGCCAAAGGUGGUAAAUUUCAUCUAAAGCUAAAUAUAGGUUCGAGACCGAUAGCAAACAAGUACCAUGAGGGAAAGAUGAAAAGGACUUUGGAAAGAGAGUUAAAAGUGCCUGAAAUUGCUGAAAGGGAAGCGAAUGGAACCAGUGUUUCUUGGUGAGAUUGUUGCGCGCUAAGGUGACAGUCGGCUGCUUGAGCGCAAGCCUGGCAGCUGGCCUCGAUUUGGAUGUGCGUGGUGCUUCUUGCCUUGCCUGUCAACGUCAAUUUGGAGUUGAGGAAAACUCUUGGCGAAUGGUAGUUUGCUUACGGGUGAGCGAAUGCGCCUUGUAGAACUCAUCUCUGGAUUGAAGACCUCGUGUCUGGUUGCAAUGUCCCCCAUUGUGCGCGUUGCCCUGGGAAAUUCAGCAGGUGUGCGUGGUCUCGCUGGUGGGUGCGUUCCUUGACGUGAAGAUGGUGACAAAAUGGUUUCACUCGACCCGUCUUGAAACACGGACCAAGGAGUCUAGCAUAUGUGCAAGUUCCCGGGUGGCCAAACCUGCUGGCGUAAUGAAAGUGACUGCUGGGAUUUUUGCACCAGCAACCGACCAAUCGAUCUUGAGAGGUUUGAGUAUGAGCACAUCUGUUAGGACCCGAAAGAUGGUGAACUAUGCGUGA
rnacentral:rRNA from 1 species